rnacentral:miRNA from 1 species
UUGCUCAUCAUUUGGGGAUCUUGUUAAAUGCAGUUUCUGAGUCAGUAGAUCUGAAGUGGGACUGAGAUUGUGCAUUUCCAACAAGCUCUCAGGCGACACUGGU